rnacentral:rRNA from 1 species
GCUGCAUGGCUGUCGUCAGCUCGUGUCGUGAGAUGUCGGUUAAGUCCGCUAACGAGCGCAACCCUCACUGUGUGUUACAUGUGUCACACGGGACUGCCGGUUUUAAGCCGGAGGAAGGCGGGGAUGACGUCAAGUCAGCAUGGCCUUUAUAUCCUGGGCUACACACACGCUACAAUGGUCUGUACAAUAGGUUGCCAAGCCGCGAGGCGGAGCCAAUCCUAAAAGCAGGCCUCAGUUCAGAUUGUAGUCUGCAACCCGACUGCAUGAAGAUGGAGUUGCUAGUAACCGCAGGUCAGCUAUACUGCGGUGAAUACGUUCCCGGGUCUU